GCCCAGGUUAUGGCGACAAACACAUAUACUUUGUCGUGUAUCCUAUCAAAGAGGCGAAACAAGGCAAUUCUCCAAGUUUUCUUGAACAAUACAACACAGAAAACAACCCAGAGACCAACUGUAAACCCGGACCCAAGUCCAAAGUAGAACAUUAGCUCAUCAGAAACAUUUUUGCUCAUGAUUUGGCUGCUAUUCUUUGGUAGUUCACUGCCCAAGCAAUUCCUUUGGAGGGGAGGACCAUAGAGACCGUUGUUUCCAUCAUAUAUGUGAGGGUUCUCGGCAUAGAGGGUAUCGAGUUGGCUUCCUCGUGGAAUUCUUCCUGUAAGAUUAUUGUAUGACAAGUCCAAGUAGCUUAGAUAUGCCAGAUUGGCCAAACUUGGAGGAAUUUCACCAGAAAAUUUGUUCCGCGAGAGGUCAAGUGAUUCCAAUGAAUUCAUCGCCCCAAUCUUCUCUACGAUUUCUCCGCUCAAUUGAUUCCAUGAUAAAUUUAAACUGAGCAAUCUUUUAAGAGAAGUGAUCUCAUCCGGUAU
rnacentral:sRNA from 1 species